ACGAACGCUGGCGGCGUGCCUAAUACAUGCAAGUAGAACGCUGAAGAGAGGAGCUUGCUCUUCUUGGAUGAGUUGCGAACGGGUGAGUAACGCGUAGGUAACCUGCCUUGUAGCGGGGGAUAACUAUUGGAAACGAUAGCUAAUACCGCAUAACAAUGGAUGACACAUGUCAUUUAUUUGAAAGGGGCAAUUGCUCCACUACAAGAUGGACCUGCGUUGUAUUAGCUAGUAGGUGAGGUAAUGGCUCACCUAGGCGACGAUACAUAGCCGACCUGAGAGGGUGAUCGGCCACACUGGGACUGAGACACGGCCCAGACGCCUACGGGAGGCAGCAGUAGGGAAUCUUCGGCAAUGGGGGCAACCCUGACCGAGCAACGCCGCGUGAGUGAAGAAGGGUUUCGGAUCGUAAAGCUCUGUUGUAAGUCAAGAACGGGUGUGAGAGUGGAAAGUUCACACUGUGACGGUAGCUUACCAGAAAGGGACGGCUAACUACGUG
rnacentral:rRNA from 1 species